AGGUUCCACCGAGAUUUGAACUCGGAUCGCUGGAUUCCAGAGUGCUAACCAUUACACCAUGGAACC
rnacentral:tRNA from 1 species